rnacentral:rRNA from 1 species
UACGAAGGGGGCUAGCGUUGCUCGGAUUGACUGGGCGUAAAGGGCGCGUAGGCGGCUUGGCAAGUGGAUGGUGAAAUCCCUCGGCUUAACCGAGGAACUGCCGUCCAAACUGCUUAGCUUGAGACCGGGAGAGGUGAGUGGAAUUCCCAGUGUAGCGGUGAAAUGCGUAGAUAUUGGGAGGAACACCAGUGGCGAAGGCGGCUCACUGGACCGGUACUGACGCUGAGGCGCGAAAGCGUGGGGAGCAAACGGG